GAUGAAGAACGCAGCGAAAUGCGAUAAGUAGUGUGAAUUGCAGAAUUUAGUGAAUCAUCGAAUCUUUGAACGCACAUUGCGCCCUUUGGUAUUCCUUAGGGCAUGCCUGUUCGAGCGUCAUCUACACCCUCAAGCACAGCUUGGUGAUGGGCGCCUGUCCCGCCCCCCACGGGGGCGCGGACUCGCCUCAAAUGCAUUGGCGGCCGGCGACCUGGCUUCGAGCGCAGCAGAAACGCGUACUCGGGGACCGGGCGCCCGCUCCCAGAAGCCAACCCUCCCAGUUUGACCUCGGAUCAGGUAGGGAUACCCGCUGAACUUAAGCAUAUCAAUAAGCGGAGGA
rnacentral:misc_RNA from 1 species